rnacentral:rRNA from 1 species
UACAGAGGUCUCAAGCGUUGUUCGGAUUCAUUGGGCGUAAAGGGUGCGUAGGCGGCGCGGUAAGUCGGGUGUGAAAUCUCGGAGCUUAACUCCGAAACUGCAUUCGAUACUGCCGUGCUUGAGGACUGGAGAGGAGACUGGAAUUUACGGUGUAGCGGUGAAAUGCGUAGAUAUCGGGAGGAACACCGGUGGCGGAAGGCGGGUCUCUGGGCGAAUUCCGUGACGCUGGAGGCGCGAAAGCGUGGGGAGCAAACGGG